rnacentral:rRNA from 1 species
UACGUAGGGGGCUAGCGUUGUUCGGAAUUACUGGGCGUAAAGGGCGCGUAGGCGGUGUGUCAAGUCAGGCGUGAAAGCCCCGGGCUCAACCUGGGAACCGCGCUUGAGACUGGCACGCUAGAGUUCGGGAGAGGAUGGUGGAAUUCCCAGUGUAGAGGUGAAAUUCGUAGAUAUUGGGAAGAACACCGAUGGCGAAGGCAGCCAUCUGGACCAACACUGACGCUGAGGCGCGAAAGCGUGGGGAGCAAACAGG